GGGCGAGUAGCUCAGUUGGUUAGAGCGGCUGGUUUACACCCAGUAGGUCGCAGGUUCGAGUCCUGUCUCGCCCACCA
rnacentral:tRNA from 1 species